rnacentral:lncRNA from 1 species
UCUCUAGGUGUCCGCUGUGUAAGCAGCCGUUCUCCUCCAGCCUUACUCUCAAACCUCCUGUACCCGGAGAAAACAGGACCGCAGCUGCCAUGGUGACCACCAGAGCAGGUGGUAACCAUGGAGAGUGAAAGAGGAGGAGGGGGAGGGAGAGGAGACAGUCAGGACGAAGGUGGAAAGGGUGGGAACUCCUCUUCUACCCCGGCCAGAGGAUGGAGGGAUCGAUGGACAGUGGGAGCUGGCAGUGUUCCACGGCUCAUUGGUCAACAUCGUCCAACGUAUCAUCACCUUGCCCAAUCGCACGCCGUAAUAGGGAGGGAGGGGGCGGGGUCAUCCAGGAUGAACUCCACCCCUUUCCAGCUGGCACGGAUGGACCACUUCUUCCACGAGCUGGAAGCCUUUGACCAGCUGGCCAUCUACGACACUCCGGCGCCGACCUACGAGGGCGGUAUGACAUCAUCAACCAGUGACACUGACCUCUCUGUCACCUGGCCAUCUAUGACCCUCCGGCGCCGACCUACGAGGACGGUAUGACAUCAUCAACCAGUGACACUGACCUCUCUGUCAAAUCAAAUCAAAUCAAAUGUAUUUAUAUAGCCCUUCGUACAUCAGCUGAUAUCUCAAAGUGCUGUACAGAAACCCAGCCUAAAACCCCAAACAGCAAGCAAUGCAGGUGGAGAAGCACGGUGGCUAGGAAAAACUCCCUAGAAAGGCCAAUACCUAGGAAGAAACCUAGAGAGGAACCAGGCUAUGUGGGGUGGCCAGUCCUCUUCUGGCUGUGCCGGGUGGAGAUUAUAACAGAACAUGGUCAAGAUGUUCAAUGUUCAUAAAUGACCAGCAUGGUCGAAUAAUAAUAAGGCAGAACAGUUGAAACUGGAGCAGCAGCACAGUCAGGUGGAAGUUGAAACUGGAGCAGCAGCAUGGCCAGGUAGACUGGGGACAGCAAGGAGUCAUCAUGUCAGGUAGUCCUGGGGCAUGGUCCUAGGGCUCAGGUCAGUUGAAACUGGAACAGCAGCAUGGCCAGGUGGACUGGGGACAGCAAGGAGUCAUCAUGUCAGGUAGUCCUGGGGCAUGGUCCUAGGGCUCAGGUCCUCCGAGAGAGAGAAAGAAAGAGAGAAAGAGAGAAUUAGAGAACGCACACUUAGAUUCACACAGGACACCGAAUAGGACAGGAGAAGUACUCCAGAUAUAACAAACUGACCCCAGCCCCCCGACACAUAAACUACUGCAGCAUAAAUACUGGAGGCUGAGACAUCUCCAUCUACGACCCUCCAGCGCCGACCUACGAGGACGGUAUGACAUCAUCAACCAGUGACACUGACCUCUCUGUCACCUGGCCAUCUUCGACCCUCCGGCGCCGACCUACGAGGACGGUAUGACAUCAUCAACCAGUGACACUGACCUCUCUGUCACCUCCAUCUCAGAGGAAGAGAUAUUGUUUUGUUACUACUUUUGGGAUGAGCUUCCAGUUGGCUCAUCUAUCCCCCCUCCUCCUCCUCUCCCCUGGAACUAUUCCCAAGGUCGUUGAGGUCGUUGGGGUCGUUGAGGUAAAAGAGAAUGUGUUCUCAGUC